rnacentral:rRNA from 1 species
GAUGAACGCUGGCGGCGUGCCUAAUACAUGCAAGUCGAGCGAACAGACGAGGAGCUUGCGCCGCGGACGUUAGCCGAGCACGGGUGUGUAACGUGUGGAUAACCUACCUAUAAUACUGGGAUAACUACGGGACACGGGCGCAUAUACGGUAGGAUAUCUUGAACCGCGUGGGUCAAUAGUGAAAGACGGUUUUGUUGGCGGUUGUCGAGGGAUUUGCGCCGGAUCAGCUUGUUGGUAGGGUAGCGGCUUAUCAAGGCUACGACGCGUAGCCGGCCUGAGAGGGUGACCGGCCACAUUGGGACUGAGAUACGGCCCAGACUCCUACGGGAGGCAGCAGUGGGGAAUAUUGCACAAUGGGCGGAAGCCUGAUGCAGCAACGCCACGUGCGGGAUGACGGCCUUCGGGUUGUAAACCGCUUUCGCCUGUGACGAAGCGUGAGUGACGGUAAUGGGUAAAGAAGCACCGGCUAACUACGUG